ACGCUCGACACCUACGGGUGGCAGCAGUGGGGAAUAUUGCACAAUGGGGGAAACCCUGAUGCAGCGACGCCACGUGGAGGAAGAAGGUCUUCGGAUUGUAAACUCCUGUUGUUGGGGAAAAAGAGGAUGGUACCCAACAAGGAAGUGACGGCUAACUACGUGCCUGCAGCCGCGGUAAUCUGAGCGGGCUGGCAAGGC
rnacentral:rRNA from 1 species